AUUCGGGGUAUGCCUUAGUACGGCGAGUGAAGCGGCAAGAGCUCAAAUUUGAAAUCUAGCACUUUCAGUGUUCGAGUUGUAAUUUGAAGAAGGUAUCUUUGGAGUUGGCCCCUGUCUAUGUUCCUUGGAACAGGACGUCACAGAGGGUGAGAAUCCCGUGCGAUGGGGAGACCAAUUCUUUGUAAAGUUCCUUCGAAGAGUCGAGUUGUUUGGGAAUGCAGCUCUAAGUGGGUGGUAAAUUCCAUCUAAAGCUAAAUAUUGGCGAGAGACCGAUAGCGAACAAGUACAGUGAUGGAAAGAUGAAAAGAACUUUGAAAAGAGAGUGAAAAAGUACGUGAAAUUGUUGAAAGGGAAGGGCUUUUGAUCAGACUUGGUGUUUAACGAUCUCUUCUCCUUGUGGGAGGGGCUCUUGUUUUAUACUGGGCCAGCAUCGGUUUGGAUGGCAGGAUAAUGACAUUGGAACGUGGCUUCAUUCGUGAAGUGUUAUAGCCUUUGUUGAUACUGCCUAUCUAGACCGAGGACUGCGUCUUUGACUAGGAUGCUGGCGUAAUGAUUAAAAGCCGCCCGUCUUG
rnacentral:rRNA from 1 species